rnacentral:tRNA from 4 species
GGGGGUAUAGCUCAGCUGGGAGAGCAUCUGCCUUACAAGCAGGAGGUCACAGGUUCGAGCCCUGUUGUCCCCACCA